GGCUGUCCCUCCCUCCCACUGCUCCACCUCCACCUGAACCUGCGGGAGAAACAUUCAACAGCUCCGGCUUCAGGGGAGGGGAAAAGAGAGGAAAAAAGAGAAAAGGGGAGUGGGACAGCAGCAGCACACCCAGCAAGUGUCACAAGGCUUGGGGGCCAAGGAGGAGGUUUUCCACGGCUGGAAGAGACCACAGAGGUGUCAGGGUAUUUCCAUUAUCCUGGCACAUUAACCAGACUGUGCUCCGACCGUGCAUGGCCAGAUCCUGGUGUCCCACCAGCCAGCUUCCACACAGCCCUCAAAGUGGGCACUGCAGCUCCCACCUGCCGUGCUUGUCCCCAGUAAGACAAGGAAAGGUUUUGGGAGAUGAUUUGGGAUGGCAGAGGAGGAAGGCAGGAGCAAUACCAGGCAGCAGGUGUGCGUGUCCACCGUGGGUGUUGUGUUUAUUUACCCAUGGCUGGUGGCAGCUGAACCAGGAACAACUCUCAGGACCCGGCUGAGGUCGGAGCUAAACACAAGACAACAACCAAGGGCCUUUUUCCAAUGUCCAUGGAGACACCAGGGUGGAGCUGCGUCCGUGGAGACAGCAGGGCGGAGCUGCAGACGUGUGGGAGUCAAGCCGGGGAGGAGUUUGGUGAAAGCGGGACUCAAGUUACCCAGUGGUGCGAGAGCGAGGAGGUCACGGAAGGCAGGGGAAGAGGCCAAAGUGAAAAAAAAACAAAAACAAAAACACCAAAAAAACAAAACAAAACAAAACAAAAAAAACCAAAAACGGGCUGGAGAGGGAGCCUCGGUACAGAAUGAGGCAAGUGGUGUUUCCUGUGCUUAAGGAAGUGAGUGACAAGCACCCAGGUCACCUCCUGCAGCCCAGCAGCCGGGGGCUGCCCCUGGGUUUGUCCCCAGCGCCACAGCUCUGUGCCAGCCGCUCCCCGUGCUGGGGAGGCACACCCCGGCUCUGCCACAGCAUCCUUCCUUCCCCAGGCGGAAAGCAGCCUGCUUCUGUGAAGCCACUGUCUUGUCAUCACUUCCCAGCUCAAGUCCAGCUCGGUCCCAGAUGGGACACGUGGCACCAUGUCGUGGGGUUCAUCCAGCACCCCUGGCACUGCCAGGCUGGGAAAGGGGCUCGAGUCCAUGUUCUCCUUCUCCUCGGUGAGUGGUGGUUACACCUCCGUGGAGUACUGCGUCAUGCUGGGGAGAGAGGAGAGAGGCAUCGGGGAGGGGAACUGUCUGAGCUGGGAGCUGUGGAAAAACACUCCGAAUAGGAACAGAAAAUUUCCCCAAAAUACAUGGAGAAAGAAUGACAGGCUGGUUGUGGGAUGUCCCACAGUCAUUAGGAAGGCAGAGAUGGAAAGCUGUGACAGUGUGGUGUUGUGUUGG